AGUUCAUAGUUUGUUCAUAAAAAAGCACUGGGUAUUUAAAACUGCUGGAAUUCUUGUUUGACAAAUCACCAAAGAUCUAGAAAAUUUUUAGGUCACUUUCCUAUUACUUGACAGUAAAAAAAAACCCCAAACCCCCAAACUACUGGUGGAUUUGAAAAUAGUUAGGUCACACUGAUUGCCGAGUUUUUACUUUACAAGUCUAAAAGCAGAAAUCCAAAACUGGUCCCAGUUUAUACUAAGUAAUUUUUGCUUGGCCUUCUCUGCACAUAAAAAUAAUGCUAAGGAAAACACAGUCAAGGACAAGAAAUUAUUCUGGGGGGAACGAUAGUUUUUGGCAGUGCAAAUACUAGGAGCAACUGAAGAGAAUAAGAUUUCUCAGUCAAUAUUAUUGACUAUGUCACAAUCAGCACUUCCUUGCUAUGCCCCUGACUCAUCUCUGGUUGCAACAUUACAAGGGUGGUAAGAAGUAAUUGAAACUCUUGCUCCACCUUGCCUUUAAGGAGGACAUAUCUCCUCUAGAUUCUGCCCAUGAACAUAAAAUUCUCAGUUCUGGUUUGUUCUGCUUUGUUGCAUAGGUUGAUGUAGAUUUUCUUUCAUGUGAAAGAAAAAAAGAGCAACACAUACAUGAUUAAUAUAGCACCUGUUCAGAAUGCAAACCUUGGAAUUUAGCUGGAACCCUAAGACCUUUAUGGGAAGGUCAAACCCAAAGCAACAUUCAUAUCACAGUCAGUCCCUCUUUUAAUUAAGUUCUAAGGUAUCCAGUAUUUUAUCCAUAGUCUACAUUAAUAUUAAAUAUAAGUCAAAUUGGUCUUUGUUCCUAUUCAGCAUAAUACUGCUCUCUUGUCUUCAUCUAAAGGUGAAGGCACAUGAUGUGAUUCCUAGGGUAGUCCUGUGCAGAGCCAGGAGUUGAAUUUCUAUGACCCUUGUGGGUCCUUUCCAACUCAGGAUAUUCUAUGAUUCUGUGAUUCUAAAGAUACAGUUGUACAUAUCUGUCCCUGGUGUUGUUUCAUGGAAAUGCACUUCCUGUUGAACUCAUAUUCAUUAUGAGAACUAGGAUCUCAGGCAAGCUCCACAAUACAUUGCAAAUGUGCAAAUAUACACACACAUAUAUUUAUGCACUGGACCUAUAUUUUUUCUAUAUAAUUGUCAAUGUGUUCCUUUUGCAUUCAUGAAAUAUUAUGAGCUCCCUCUGGUGGGCCAAAACAAUAUCUUUGUAUUGUAGAGUCACUGUAAAGUGUUGGGAGCCCAUUUAGCCUAAAGGAAAAGAAAUGCUUGUUCUGUGUAUCUAGGGUUGGUAGUUCAAAUCUGGAUUUCUUAGCUAAUUUUGAUUUCCUUCUAGUUUGUGGUUCUGUCUCAGAAACUCUGUAUUUUCAAUGCUUAAUUCUCAAACCUGAAAAUAAUUUAAUUACAAAAUAUAUUAAUGAAAAGACUAAAUAACCUGAAUUAAAGCUGAAGGUUCAGGUUUCAUGGAUACAUGAUAACAGUAACCAAUAGGAACAAUAGGUCUCCCAACUGAAUCACACAGAUACUAUUUCGAUAGAUUACUAAAACAGUUCUUUUUUUUUUCCAGAGUAUUCCGCAUGAAGUAGUUUUGCACACUAAACCUAGUUGCUCUGAAGAGCUUGCUGUGUCUAUAUCUCAUAAGAUGAAUUGCUUGCUCAAAAUCAGGACUGUACCUUGCUUGUUAGUACUUUUUCCAUAGAAAUAAUUUUUCAUUUUUUUCUACAGUUUCUGUGAAAUUAUGGUGAUCCUAUCUCUGUGAAGUGAAUAAAUACAUUCCUCUCAUCUCCCCCAGUGAGGAUUGUGAUGAAGAUUAUGCUUAGUUUCGAACAGGAGAAAUAAGUCACAGUCUGAGAAGUAAUUGAAAAUAAAAAUAGUGUUCUUAUUUAAGCAGUUUUAUUUUUUGCUCCUUUUUCUUUUUUUUUUUUUUUAGUAUGAACAUGUUCCUUGGUGCAUAUAGCCUACUUUUCACUCCAGGCAGGUGAAAUGGUUAAAAAAACCCAGAUCAUCAAAUUCUCAUCCUCAGGUAGGUUCUAUCCCUUAGCAAAUAUGUUCUGGUACUGAAAGUUCUCAAACUGUUAAGUUGUAUGCUGCAGUGUCAGCUAAAUGCAGGACAAAUCUUUAGUUUUGCUCAGCAGCACCUUUUGUUUCAGGCUUUUACAGUACGUUUUCUUACAACUAGCUGUAUGCACUGAAUUAUCUGCUUCUGUAAAGUACCAAGAGAAAUGAAAAUAAAGUAGAAUAAAAAGUAAA